GCCUGGGUGGCUCAGUCGGUUAAGCGUCUGACUUCGGCUCAGGUCAUGAUCUCACAGUUUGUGGGUUCGAGCCCCGCAUCGGGCU
rnacentral:tRNA from 1 species